rnacentral:tmRNA from 1 species
GGGGUCGUUACGGAUUCGACAGGCAUUAUGAGGCAUAUUUUGCGACUCGGGUGGCGCCGUGUUAACGCUCAGUUAAAUAUAACUGCAAAAAAUACAAAUUCUUACGCAGUAGCAGCUUAAUAACCUGCCUGUGUGAUCUUCUCAGGAUUGCUUGUGUUCUGCCAGAAGGUCUUAUUAUUAGCAAGCUACGUUUAACUAUUGCCUAGCUAGUUAAAAAGAGAUUUAUGGGCUCGCGUUGAUAAGGGUUGAGUUAUGUCUCGUGUCAGCGUUAAAUCAAAUGCAUAACCUAUGGUUGUAGACGAAUAUGUUGGCAGGUGUUUGGACGUGGGUUCGACUCCCACCGGCUCCAU